rnacentral:rRNA from 1 species
AGUGGAUGCCUCUACACUUAUAAAUGGGACGUUUAAAACACGAAAAGUCGUUUGGAAAUAUAAACGAAUUUCCCAAGGGAAACCCAUAAGUAAAAAACCUGUGAGUAUCAACUUUUACCAGCAGGAAAAAAAACCAAAAGGGAGACCAAUAGUAGCGGAGAGCGAAAUUGGUAUAUGUUUGUCUUUGUAAUAAUAUAACCAAGGGGUUUAUACUGAACUUUUAUAAAUAAAAGUUCAAGAGUUAAGGUCUUUAGGACCAAGAUUAACUCUUGUAAUAAUAAGGUUCUUUUUUUAAAACGUAUUUAUCUACUCUUCUUAUAGUGAGAAAAGUAGUUAUAUGAAUAGUUGCCAAAGAAGGUGAAAGCCCUGUAAAAAAAAAGAACUGUAUCUAUAAAGAAAUAAUUUUUAUUUCGUGCUUCGCUGGCGCAUCGGCUUCUUCUUCGGCGAAGCCGAUGCGCAUCGGCUUCUUCGCUUCGCGAACGAAAGCGCAAGCGAACGAGAGCGCAAGCGAAGAAGCGCAGAAAAAAAAGUAGAUGGUCGCUAUUAUUAAUGCGUCCAUAAUCAAGAGGUACCACCCUCUAAACUUUAAUUAUAAGUGAUAGAUAGUGUACUAGUACGGUGACGGAAAGGUGAAAAGAGCAACUUUUGUUGUAGUGAAAUAGAUCCUGAAACCCUAUGCUACCAAACAGUUGAUGGCUUAAUAUACAUACGUAGUCUCAGCGUGCCUUUUGCAACAUGAGAGAAUAAGUCUUCAAAUAUAGCAGCUUAAGCCGAUAGGUGUAGGCA